rnacentral:rRNA from 1 species
GAUGAACGCUGGCGGCGUGCUUAACACAUGCAAGUCGAACGGGAAAUAUUUCAUUGAGACUUCGGUGGAUUUGAUUUAUUUCUAGUGGCGGACGGGUGAGUAACGCGUGGGUAACCUGCCUUAUACAGGGGGAUAACAGUCAGAAAUGGCUGCUAAUACCGCAUAAGCGCACAGAGCUGCAUGGCUCAGUGUGACAAACUCCGGUGGUAUAAGAUGGACCCGCGUUGGAUUAGCUAGUUGGUGGGGUAACGGCCUACCAAGGCGACGAUCCAUAGCCGGCCCCAGAGGGUGAUCGGCCACCCGGGAAGCGGGACACGGUGCAGACUACGAGGGGAAGCAGCAGAAGGGAAUCUUCCGCGAUGGGCGAAAGCCUGACGGAGCAACGAGGCGUGAGUGAUGAAGGUCUUCGGAUCGGAAAAAUCUGUUAUGAGGGAAUAACAAAUGUGUAGGGAACUAUGCACGUCUUGACGGUACCUAAUCAGAAAGCCACGGCUAGCUACGUG